rnacentral:rRNA from 1 species
CUCUUUGCAGGAGGCAGUUAUGAGACGUGAAGAUGAGUAUCUUGUAAAGAGGGAUAGGAGAAUUGGAGGGCAAGUUUGGUGCCAGCAGCCGCGGUAAUACCGACUCCAAGAGUGUGUAUGAGAGAUGCUGCAGUUAAAAAGUCCGUAGUCAUAGAAGGGCAAAGAGAGAUGCGAGGUCUCACAGUGCGAUGAUGGAGGAGCCGAUGGGGAACAUAGUAUACCAGGGCGAGAGAUGAAAUGCCAAGACCCCUGGUGGACUGAGCGAGGCGAAGGCGAUGUUCUUGUAGGCAUUCGGUGAUCAAGGACGAAGGCUGGAGUAUCGAAAGUGAUUAGAUACCGCAGUAGUUCCAGCAGUAAAAGAUGCCGACAUGCUCAUUGGACACAGUGGGCAGGGAGAAAUCUUAGAGUUCGGGCUCUGGGGAUAGUAUGCUCGCAAGGGUGAAAAUUAAAGAAAUUGACGGAGCUACACCACAAGGAGUGGAUUGUGCGGCUUAAUUUGACUCAACGCGAGGAAACUUACCAGGGCCAAGUAUUGUGUAGAAACGAGCAAUACAGGAGUGGUGCAUGGUCGUUGGAAAUUGAUGGGAUGACUUUGACCUUAAAUGGUUGAAUGAGUGAGAUCUUUUGGACAUGUUCCGCACGGAACAGGAAGGAAAAGGCUAUAACAGAUCCGAGAUGCCCUCAGAUGCCCUGGGCUGCACGCGCAAUACAAUAGCAGGUAGAGAGAGAGACAGGAAGGUGCUCAGAUGGACUAUGUGCUGUAAGGCACAAUACGAAAGAGGAAUUCCUAGUAAGUGUGU